rnacentral:rRNA from 1 species
GACGGAGGGUGCAAGCGUUGUUCGGAUUGACUGGGCGUAAAGGGCGCGUAGGCGGGCGAUCAAGUCAGGGGUGAAAUCCUCCAGCUUAACUGGAGAACUGCCUCUGAUACUGGUCAUCUUGAGUGAGGUAGGGGCGUGCGGAACUGAUGGUGGAGCGGUGAAAUGUGUUGAUAUCAUCAGGAACUCCGGUGGCGAAAGCGGCGCGCUGGACCUUAACUGACGCUGAGGCGCGAAAGCGUGGGGAGCAAACAGG